rnacentral:lncRNA from 1 species
GUGUGUGUUGAAGGGGGGCGGUUGGGCCCUGGGAAAGCGGAUUGGGGCCUCCCUCUUGGGAUACCCCCCCUUGAUAGUGCCCGAGGGUAAAGCCUCAGAUCUCGGCCUUCUUGGGGGAGGGGAUGCGGACAGGGCGGGCCUUUGGAAAUGCAGAUGAGUCGUCUCCUGCUGCUUGUCGCCCUGGCUGAACCUUAGUGACUCAGCCACCCCCACCCCACCCCCAUCCAUUCCAGAGUCUUGGCCGGAGACCGGAACAAUGUCUGGGUUAUCCCCACAGUAGACAGUCCUUGCUUCCUCUGGACAUCUGGAACAGGCCUAAUUUGGCUGACAGCUUUCCCACUAAGGUUGAAGGCCUUCUACCUCUGCUCUCCUGGGCUUGCUUUCCCUAUUGGCCUCUGUCUUCCUUGAGACCAUCCUGCGGCUGGCUCCCUGAGUGAAUCUUCCCCUGGCACAAGAAGCCAGCCAGCCAGCCAGCCAGCCUCUGGGGCCCAGGACAAAGCCUGAAGAAGCCUAAGAGAAGAACCCUGGAAUCCCUGCAAAGGUAUGUGGAUCCCCGCUCACUCUAAACCUCCCCCUCUUUGUGCUGUUUUUACUCCACUCUGGAGUAGCCUGCUCUUCGUUCUCUGGGCAGUCUUGGCCUCUGGCAUGCUGUCCCUCCUUUUUUUUUUUUUUUUUUUUUUGCCAUUCUCAAAGGGCCACUAAGGUAUAGACCCAGCCCUUCCUCCCUUGCCUGGUUUUGACAGGACUCAUGUCUGUUGGGUCUCUUUGUAGCCCUUCUCCCCCUUCAACCAGCAGUCGGGCCCUAGCCCGUAACCUUGACAACCACUUGGUCCUGUCUCCUCACUACUGAAAACCUGAAGAGGGUUUUCCAGCUGCGGUACAUUUGCCCAAAUUGGGCACCCCUUCUAGCUUCCAUUGGCUCUCCCUCUGCCCAACUGUACCCAAUACAACAAACCAGCUUCCCUGGUCCCUUGGCUGUAACCCAAAAUUGAUCACACUGGUGCUGGGAGCUCCACCACACAGCUUCCUCCAUGCAGCUCCUAACAGGCAGGAAUACGGUUGCUUCUCAAUAAACAAAUCGCAAAAAA